GUGUGGGGGACGGCACAGCCCCGUCCCCGGCGGCAAAGGAGGACGCGCCCCUGGGGAAAGGAGGAAGGCGGCAGCGACGGGGAGCACACCCGGAGCAGGUCGGGUCCACACCAUGUGCCCGAGAGAAGGUCCACGUGGAUGGAUGAAGCAGAAAAGGUUGAGAAGGCAGAUCUGUGAAAAGGAGCCUCACUCAUGAGGUGAUGUUUCCUGGCAAUGAGUGUAGCAGAAGCUUGAGAGAGACAAGUUGGAUUUUCUACUGCUACCUGUUUAAUGAAGGUCAGAACAUGGAUGUGAACAGUGGAUAAAGCAACACCAGUGACAACUGGCAACCUUGAUAAGACGUUUCAGUGGAGUGGUGACACCCGGAGCUGUGGAAAGCGAGA